AGUGAACGUUGGCGGCGUGGAUUAGGCAUGCAAGUCGAGCGAGAACCGUAGCAAUACGGGGACAGCGGCGAAAGGGACAGUAAUGUGUAGGUACCUACCCCGAGGUCUGGGAUAGCUGCGGGAAACUGCAGGUAAUACCGGAUAAUGUCUUCGGACCAAAGGUGUGAUUCCACCUUGGGAGGGGCCUGCAUCCUAUUAGCUAGUUGGCGGGGUAAUGGCCCACAAAGGCGACGAUGGGUAGCGGGUGUGAGAGCACGACCCGCGUCAUUGGGACUGAGACACUGCCCAGACACCUACGGGUGGCUGCAGGCGAGGAUCUUCGGCAAUGGGCGAAAGCCUGACCGGGCGACGCCGCGUGCGGGAUGAAGGCCGUCGGGUUGUAAACUGCUGUCGUAGAGGAGGAAAUGCAGGUGGGUUCUCCCAUCUGUUUGACCUAUUCUAGGAGGAAGUACGGGCUAAGUUCGUGCCAGCCGCCGCAGUAA
rnacentral:rRNA from 1 species